rnacentral:rRNA from 1 species
CAAUAGCGUAUAUUAAAGUUGUUGCAGUUAAAAAGCUCGUAGUUGGAGUUCAGAGUGAGCUCAGCCGGUCCGCCUCAUGGGUGAGUACUGGUCGACUCUCUCUUGUUUGUGAAUCCCGCCCGGAGUUAAUUCUUCGGGAUGUGGAGUUCACAUCGUUUACCUUGAAAAAUUAGAGUGUUCAAAGCAGGCGUUUGCUUGAAUAUAUUAGUAUGGAAUAAUGGAAUAGGACCCUGGUUCUAUUUUGUUGGUUUUGAGAACCAGAGUAAUGAUUAAUAGGGAUAGUUGGGGGUGCUAGUAUUCGGCGGCCAGAGGUGAAAUUCUUUGAUCCGCUGAAGACUAACUUAUGCGAAAGCAUUCACCAAGGAUGUCUUCUUUAAUCAAGAACGAAAGUUGGGGGAUCGAAGAUGAUUAGAUACCAU